rnacentral:misc_RNA from 1 species
GUGAAUCAUCAAAUUUUUGAACGCAAAUUGCAUUCUCCUCGGAGAGUAUGCCUGUUUGAGGGUCAGCCUAUAAAAAAUCGACAUCGUUGCUGUUUCGCGGUGGCGUUCGUCUGAAUUUGGGUCAUCUUAAAUCUUUUGGUUUUACGCGACUUAAAAUUUUCUUUUUGUUUCCAUGAACGUUUCUAAGAUUUAUUUCCUUACACUUUUAUGGUAUCGAUUUUUAUUAGACGUCACCUUCAUAUCUGUUCGCGCCCAUAAUCUUUCCUUCA